rnacentral:lncRNA from 1 species
GAUUGUCAGGGAUGAAGCUAACAUGCCGCUUUGAUCCAGCUUUCUAAGACGUACCGUUUUCCUAAUUACACUUUCCCAGAGGCAAACCCAGAUGGAUGUCAGAACGAAAAUAAACGGAAUGUGGCUCAACUGAGUGCAACUCUAAUGACUAACACAGUAAACAAAUGGUGUUGCUUAAAUCUUCACAUUUAUAGAAAUAGAAAUGGAGUGUCGUUAUGCUCCUACUGUGAUGAAGAGGAUAGUCCUGUUGUGGUGAAGAUUAUAUGCUCUGUGGAUGAUGAUUUAAGUGUAUGAACAAAUACUCAAGAUGCAGCUUGUCGGGAGCUGUCCUGGAUGCAUUUAGUAAACACUGGGACGAAAAUGUGUGCUUUAAAAAAAAAAAAGAAAGA